GUGGGGCAUGCCUAAUACAUGCAAGUCGAGCGGAAUGUUUAGAGAGCUUGCUCUUUGAAAUGUUAGCGGCGGACGGGUGAGUAACACGUGGGCAACCUGCCCUACAGAUGGGGAUAACUCCGGGAAACCGGGGCUAAUACCGAAUAAUCAGUUGGUCCGCAUGGACCAACUCUGAAAGACGGUUUCGGCUGUCACUGUAGGAUGGGCCCGCGGCGCAUUAGCUAGUUGGUGGGGUAAUGGCCUACCAAGGCGACGAUGCGUAGCCGACCUGAGAGGGUGAUCGGCCACACUGGGACUGAGACACGGCCCAGACUCCUACGGGAGGCAGCAGUAGGGAAUCUUCCACAAUGGACGAAAGUCUGAUGGAGCAAUGCCGCGUGAGCGAAGAAGGUUUUCGGAUCGUAAAGCUCUGUUGUAAGAGAA
rnacentral:rRNA from 1 species